rnacentral:rRNA from 1 species
UACGGGGGGGGCAAGCGUUGUUCGGAAUUACUGGGCGUAAAGGGCUCGUAGGCGGCCAACUAAGUCGGACGUGAAAUCCCUCGGCUUAACCGGGGAACUGCGUCCGAUACUGGAUGGCUUGAGUUCGGGAGAGGGAUGCGGAAUUCCAGGUGUAGCGGUGAAAUGCGUAGAUAUCUGGAGGAACACCGGUGGCGAAGGCGGCAUCCUGGACCGACACUGACGCUGAGAC